GGAAAAGAAAGCUUAUAAGAAAUGUAUGAGCACUCUAGCUUUUUUGCAGAAAUAUUAAGGAAUAUUGGCCAAGAUUUUCAAACAUAGUGGCUUAACAUAGUCUUUUAACUCCAUAUUCAGGCUUCUUAUUCAAGGUCUACUGUUCAGAAGGAUGAAAACCUGGCAACUCAUCCACUUUGAGUAGCCUUUUUAGUUACUCAGUGCUUGUGAAAACUGAUGUAGCAGUUUGAAUAUGGACUAAAAAUCCUAAUGUUUGGUAUUUUUGUUGGCAAUCCUGUAAUAAUUAUGCUGUAAAUCAAAAUAUGGGUUUGGAUUUCAAGAAAAGUGCCUUGAGCCCUGCUCCCACCCUUCUGCAGAGACACUGCAUAGCUUUUUCAGAUUAUUAGGUAUAAAAUUAUCAGUUUGAAGGACAGCUGACAAACUUUUACUUAGUAUCUUUCUCCAUGUGUUGCCCCCAUGAAAAUGUACAUACAAACCUGUUCAUGCAAUGUGCAACAUAAAGUCAUUAGUUCCCAAGAGGCUUGGAUUGAUAUGAUGUGCUUGGAACAGCCAUACAAAGUCCCAAGCGUGACUGCACUCGUAAUGCAAGGAUGCUAACAAGGGGAGCCACAGGCAAUGCUAAUGUCCUAUAUAAAUAUCAAAUGUGCUUAUCUAUUUUAUAGGCUAAUCACUCUCAUGCAGCUGCUACCAAGUCAUAUGUACUUUGCCUAACUCAAAUCCCACUGACGUGACUGGGAAGAGUCUGUGAUUUGGUGGGCUCAGCUGCCAUCAGGAUAUUUAGGGUUCAGUACGAUUCACCUGGAUGGUGAAUUCUGGAGACCUGUGCUCCAGCUGGGGUGUGAGCACAUACUUGAGUGCUUUGCUGGAUCAGACCUAGGGAGGGCCCAGAACCUCUCUGCAUAGCCCCUGCCCUCAGUUGCUGACAACACACUCCCUUUGCUGCUCAGUGUCUAUCCUGCGUGAACCCAUGGGUUACUAGAAAAACAGCUCUUUGGUAAGCAGGGUGAUGCUCUUCACGUGCUGAUUGGCUUUGUGGUUGAAAAUUGAGAUACUUGGCCUAAGAUCUUCCUUGCCUGUGUUUUUACUCUCCAGAGCCACUGGUUUCCCAGGCUCAGAGUUAACUCCAGAGAGCCAAACACAGCCAAAGGUAUCUCUCCAUUUACUUUAAGCAUUUUAUCAGCCCGGGCAAAAUGAAAACUCAAGAGUAGUGGCUCCUAACCUCUGUACAGCUGAGCUUCAGCAGCGCCAUGUACCCCAAGACCCUGGGUGGCCCGGCUUCCACGAGACUAUGCUAACCUUAGAGGGAGGAAGCAUUUGGAGAGGGAGGAGAGCCAAAAGGGAGUACUGAUUUCACAAGGGAAACCUGCAGGUAGCUUGACUGUUUUACCUCAGAUUUCUUCAAGCCCAUUUGAAAUGUGCCUGCUACCCCCUGUUUCAUCUGAAUGCAACACCUGGGCUAUUGGAAGGUCUUUCUUCUGACAAAAGAAUUAAUUAAAUUUUGGUCAAAACAGUACAUUUUCACAAAAGAAGCUUGAAUCUUGUAGAGAGAGGAGCAUUUUCUGCCAGAAAGGAGAUCUCAAAACAUCAACCCAGGUACCUCCAGAGUACAUUGCUGCCAACCAGCCCUUGAGCUUCUGGUCGCUGUCUGGAAUCUGUUUCUCCAUUUCAGGUGGCUCCAGCUGCCCGCCCAGCCGCAGCACGGGCUCUGAGAGCUGCUGCAUGAUGGCAGCCAGUAUCCCAUGGAGAGCUCAAGUCAGCAAGAUGGUGAGCAUCUUACAGGAGCUCAUCAGCACCCUCAAGCCUUGGGAAAGGUUGUGCUCCUUUUGGUACCUGAUGGAGGCAGGCAGGGACCUCUGCCAAAAUGCACGAUGAGAGUUCUUUCCUGGCUGCACAAUGGGUGCUUCAACACGGACCUGACAGACACUUUAGCCUGUGAGGCCCCAGUUCAGCAAAAUACUUAAGUGGGGACGGAUCUAAGCAUGCAUGUGAAGACAUGGAUUUCCCCGACUAUGAUAACUUCAGUAUAACUGUAUGUGUGCUGUGAACUCUGUACAAUUACUCUACAGGUCUGGAGUUGAGCUGUGUUUCUCAUCAUGAGAGUGAAUUAGUCAAGUGGCCCCAUCACAAGCAAAAGUUCUAGGAGUAAGACAUCUAUGAAGUUCAGGUCCUCCCAUGCUUAGGUAGCAGCUCAGUGGAGGUUUUCAGGAUUGCCGUUUCAGUCAAAAGUGUGCAUGUUGCAGCUAAGCCUCAUUUUAUUCUCCUAAACGCAAAUGAACAACUUUUUAGCCAAGAAGCUACAGUCCUAGAGGGGCCAUUUUGGAGCUGGCUGCAGCUUGCUGCACCUCAUUCUUCCAAGUGGCAAGCUGAAAGAGAAAUUCUGUUCUCUGAGCCACAUAAAAGACCCUUGUUCUGAUACUCUGCAUUCACUGGAGCUCCACACAUGGUGGGAAGAAUGGAAGGGCAGACUAGAGAGGUACUGCCCUUGAGAGGUGCUGAAAGCCCCUUGGACUUCAAGAAUAUCCUGAAUUGCCGCUGUCUUCAGUAAGAGAAGAAAAUACUCAGCACCAGGCAUAGAAAAACUCAGCAGUCUGCUUAAAAAUGAAGAAGUCGUGACACCUAGCGGU